rnacentral:rRNA from 1 species
AUUGAACGCUGGCGGCAGGCCUAACACAUGCAAGUCGAGCGGAGCGGCGGACGGGUGAGUAAUGUAGAGGGAUCAGCCCGAUAGAGGGGGAUAACUACUGGAAACGGAGGCCAAUACGGCAUACUAGCGGCUUAACCCAUAUGGGAUUUGCCAGUAGGUGGGGUAAAGGCCUACCAAGGCUACGAUCCGUAACGGGUCUGAGAGGGUGAUCGGUCACACUGGAACUGAGACACGGUCCAGACUCCUACGGGAGGCAGCAGUGGGGAAUAUUGGACAAUGGGCGAAAGCCUGAUGCAGCCAUGCCGCGUGUGUGAUGAAGGUCUUCGGAUUGUAAAGCCCUUUAAUUAGGGAGGCGUUACCUACACAGUAAGCACCGGCUAACUCCGUGCCAGCAGCCGCGGUAAUAC